rnacentral:tRNA from 1 species
GAUGUAAUUCAGUGGUAGAACUCUUGCCUAAUAUGCAUGAGACCCUGGGUGCAACCCCCAGGACAACA